rnacentral:lncRNA from 1 species
UGCACGACUGUGAUCUCCACCAGUUAACCAUUUGUUUUCCCCUUUCCUUGGUUCUAGGGCAGCCAGGAGUGCCCGAGGAAUAUCACACAUGUCCCACCUAGGGGGCGGGGUGUGGGGGGGGGCGGGGGGUGCUGGCUUGUACUUUGCCCUCAGCUUGCCUUAGGCUCCCUUAUCAGUCUUGUUUCUCCCUACGACAGUCUGGAUUUCUACAGGAUGCUUCCAAGUACCCUGAAAAGCCCUCAUGUCAGAAGACCUCUUAUUUGACUCUUGGCCUUUGAAUGAAAAGAGAAAUUUCACCCGACACUCCCAGAAGAGCGUGUUCCCUCUGUUGCCUGCUCUGUCUUCUUCCUCUGAGUAAUCCCUUAGCAGGGGCGGCACAGCGGGCUGCCCCUCCUGGGGUCUGCAUUUCCUCCAUCAGCGUGGCCCCCACCUAGAUGUGCUGUGCGUGCAGCUCCCCAGACAGCCAGGGAGGGGGCAGCUCUCCAGUCGAAGGCUUCUGUUCAGAUCCCGAGCCCUGGGAAGGAACCUCAUUUUCCCAAAGAUCAUUCGGACUCAGCCACCACCCACCACUCUGUGAUCAGAGGGAUGUGGAAGCUACCUGACUGAAGGAGAAAUCCUCCCAUUCAGGAAGCUUGUCGAUCUAGGUGACCUAGGGAGAUCUCUUGGUCUCUAGGCGCCAAGGUCUCCUCACCUGUGCAAUGGGUAUGCUGUGGGAAGGAGGAAGUAAGAUAUUGUGUGUGGAGUGCUUGGCGUUUAGUUCCUGGCUUUCUCAACUGUCAUGGGCCACGGGCUCCCAUGGAGCAUCUUUUCAUUCCCUCGGCCACCUGUGCUCCAAACUGCCUCACUGCCACACUUAGGGGCACACUAGUGAUGGGCGAGAGUGUCGUGAGGGAAGGUGAGCUCUCCAUAGGAUGCCAACUCUUAGGCCUUCUGACGCUUCUGAUCUCUGCCCUGGGCCCGAUCGCUGGAGGCCCCUCCCUCCUCUGACCCUGUCACAGGCUGAGUCGCGUCCCUCCAAAAGAUCCGCCGAAGUCCCAAGUCUUGCUCCCUGUGAAUGUGGCCUUUCUUGGAAAAUAAGAUCUCUGCAGACGUAACAGGUGACAUUAAGAUGGGA